rnacentral:rRNA from 1 species
ACAUGUCUUUUUGGUUAUUUAAUAUAAAGUCUGACCUGCCCACUGAAUAAUUUUAAAGGGCCGCAGUAUUUUGACUGUGCAAAGGUAGCAUAAUCAUUAGUCUUUUAAUUGAAGGCUGGUAUGAAUGGUUGGAUGAGAUACAAGCUGUGUCAUAAAAAUUAAUAUUUGAAUUUAUCUUUUUAGUCAAAAGGCUAAAAUAAUAUUAAAAGACGAGAAGACCCUAUAGAGCUUUAUAUAACUUAUAUUUAGAUUAUUAGUAUUUUUUAAAUUUAAUUAUUUUGUUAUAUUUUGUUGGGGUGACAAUAAAAUUUAUAAAACUUUUAUUAUUAUUUUUCAUUAAUUUAUGUUUAAAUGAUCCAGUUUUAUUGAUUAUAAAUUUAAGUUACCUUAGGGAUAACAGCGUAAUUUUUUUUGAGAGUUCUUAUCGACAAAAAAGAUUGCGACCUCGAUGUUGGAUUAAGAGUAAUUUUGGGUGUAGAAGUUCAAAGUUUAAGUCUGUUCGACUUUUAAAUUCUUACAUGAUC